rnacentral:rRNA from 1 species
AUAUAGAUUAAGUUAUUAAGGGCGCACGGUGGAUGCCUUGGCACUAGAAGCCGAUGAAGGACGUUACUAACGACGAUAUGCUUUGGGGAGCUGUAAGUAAGCUUUGAUCCAGAGAUUUCCGAAUGGGGAAACCCAGCACGAGUUAUGUCGUGUUAUCUGCAUGUGAAUACAUAGCA